rnacentral:lncRNA from 1 species
AUGGAUAUCAUUUACACUGGAUGCCCUUGGAAUCUGUUUACAUUUCGGCCAUCCUCAUACCUUUGUGUGUCUACUGGAGGCUGCCCCUGGGAUAGUGGAGGAACUUUGUGUUACACAGUGGAAUGCAAGUGCUUGGGAGUUGAUGACCUACUAGAUCAAGCUGUAGCCAAUGAUGGAAAAGCAGUGAUAAAAUUGCAAAUGUGCAUCAGCGUUCGCUCUCACACAUUAACCGAAUAUGGAGCCAGGAACAGCAGUAAAGUAAACAAAGAAUUGAACAAAACUGACUUGUGUGGGGGAGCAUUUGUGAUUCUGUCUCAACGUGUUUCUCUAAGCAGAUGA